rnacentral:rRNA from 1 species
GAUGAACGCUGGCGGCGUGCUUAACACAUGCAAGUCGAACGGAAAGGCCGAAGCUUGCUUCGGUACUCGAGUGGCGAACGGGUGAGUAACACGUGGGUGAUCUGCCCUGUACUUCGGGAUAAGCUUGGGAAACUGGGUCUAAUACCGGAUAUGACGAUCUCUUGGAUGGGGUUGUGGAAAGCUUUUGCGGUAUGGGAUGAGCUCGCGGCCUAUCAGCUUGUUGGUGGGGUAAUGGCCUACCAAGGCGUCGCCGGGUAGCCGGCCUGAGAGGGUGUACGGCCACAUUGGGAACGGGAUACAGGCCAGACUCCUACGGGAGGGAGGAGGGGGGAAUAUUGGACAAUGGGGGGCAGCCUGAGGCAGCGACGCCGCGGGGGGGAUGACGGCCUUCGGGUUGUAAACUCCUUUCGCAAUCGACGAAGCCUUUUGGUGACGGUAGGUUGAGAAGAAGCACCGGCUAACUACGUG